rnacentral:rRNA from 1 species
AUGGCCGGCUGGUUGGACGAGGGGUCCUCCUCCUCCUCCUCGUCGUCGUCUAAGCGGCGGCGCCGGGAUUGUGACUGCGACUGCGCUGAGAGUAGGAGGCCGCGGCGGAAGCAGCACCUCUAUCUGGCGCUGGACGACUGGGACGGCGGGUACAGCAUCCACAAGCUCGACGCCGACGACAUCUUGGACGACGAUUUUGGAGGAGUGCGCAAGCUUCCCGAGCCCGCCGCCAUCCGGAUCAGGUGGCCGGUGCGCGGCCCCGUGCACUUCGCCGCUCUGGGCACCGACAUCUUCUUCGCUGCCGGCCCGCGUUUCCACGGUGACGACGCCCCACCCACAACCUUCGUCUACGAAACGCAGGCCGCCGCGCUCGCCGUGGGCCCGCCCCUUCCGACCGGGCUCUAUAGCUUGGGGGCCGCCAUGGCCGCCGGUCGGAAGCUCUACGCCCUAACAAGCCCCUGCCAUCCCGAGGUGUCGUGGUUCUAA